CCUACGGGGGGCAGCAGUGGGGAAUAUUGGACAAUGGGUGAAAGCCUGAUCCAGCCAUGCCGCGUGUGUGAAGAAGGCCUUCGGGUUGUAAAGCACUUUCAGUGGGGAAGAAAGCCUUGGGGCUAAUACCCUCGAGGAAGGACAUCACCCACAGAAGAAGCACCGGCUAACUCCGUGCCAGCAGCCGCGGUAAUACGGAGGGUGCGAGCGUUAAUCGGAAUUACUGGGCGUAAAGCGCGCGUAGGCGGUCUGAUAAGCCGGUUGUGAAAGCCCCGGGCUCAACCUGGGAACGGCAUCCGGAACUGUCAGGCUGGAGUGCAGGAGAGGAAGGUAGAAUUCCCGGUGUAGCGGUGAAAUGCGUAGAGAUCGGGAGGAAUACCAGUGGCGAAGGCGGCCUUCUGGACUGACACUGACGCUGAGGUGCGAAAGCGUGGGUAGCAAACAGGAUUAGAUACCCGGGUAGUC
rnacentral:rRNA from 1 species